rnacentral:rRNA from 1 species
UACGAAGGGGGCUAGCGUUGUUCGGAAUCACUGGGCGUAAAGCGCACGCAGGCGGAUCGAUAAGUCGGGGGUGAAAGCCCGGGGCUCAACCUCGGAAUUGCCUUCGAUACUGUCGGUCUCGAGUCCGGGAGAGGUGAGUGGAAUUCCUAGUGUAGAGGUGAAAUUCGUAGAUAUUAGGAAGAACACCAGUGGCGAAGGCGGCUCACUGGCCCGGUACUGACGCUCAUGCACGAAAGCUAGGGGAGCAAACAGG